UCCGAGCCGAGUGGCCAUAUAGUUGGCAUC
rnacentral:sRNA from 1 species